rnacentral:rRNA from 1 species
AAUGAACGUUGGCGGCGUGGAUUAGGCAUGCAAGUCGCGCGACAAGGAACCUUCGGGUUCUGGAGGAGCGGCAAACGGGGUAGUAAGGCAUCGGAACGUACCCUCUUGUUGGGAAUAGCCGCGGGAAACUGCGAGUAAUGCCCAAUAAUCCCUACGGGGCAAAGGUCCGCCGCAGGAGGAGCGGCCGAUGUGAUACCAGCUAGUUGGUGAGGUAAUGGCUCACCAAGGCUUAGACGUCUAGGGGGUGUGAGAGCAUGGCCCCCACCACUGGGACGUGAGAUACUGCCCACGACACCUACGGGUGGGCUGCAGUCGAGAAUCUUCGGCAAUGGGCGGCAAGCCUGACCGAGCAACGCCGCGUGCGGGAGUGAAGG